UCGGGAAUUUUGGGCAAUGGGCGAAAGCCUGACCCAGCAACGCCGCGUGAGGGAUGAAGUAUUUCGGUAUGUAAACCUCGAAAGAAUGGGAAGAAUAAAUGACGGUACCAUUUAUAAGCUCCGGCUAACUACGUGCCAGCAGCCGCGGUAAUACGUAGGGAGCAAGCGUUGUUCGGAUUUACUGGGCGUAAAGGGCGCGUAGGCGGCGCGGUAAGUCACUUGUGAAAUCUCUGAGCUUAACUAAGAACGGCCAAGUGAUACUGCUGUGCUAGAGUGCUGAAGAGGCAACCGGAAUUCUUGGUGUAGCGGUGAAAUGCGUAGAUAUCAAGAGGAACACCUGAGGCGAAGGCGGGUUGCUGGGCCGACACUGACGCUGAUGCGCGAAAGCCAGGGGAGCAAACG
rnacentral:rRNA from 1 species